CGCCUAACACAUGCAAGUCGAACGAAGUAGCAAUACUUAGUGGCAGACGGGUGAGUAACAUGUAGGUAUCUGCCCUUUGGCCUGGAAUAACACGAGGAAACUUGUGCUAAUACCGGAUAAGUCUUUACGGAGAAAGCUUUAUGCACCAUUGGAUGAGCCUGCACUUGAUUAGUUUGUUGGUAGGGUAAUGGCCUACCAAGACUGUGAUCAAUAGCUGAUUUGAGAGGAUGAUCAGCCACAUUGGGACUGAGACACGGCCCAAACUCCUACGGGAGGCAGCAGUGGGGAAUCUUGCACAAUGGAGGAAACUCUGAUGCAGCGAUGCCGCGUGAGUGAAGAAGGCCUUUGGGUUGUAAAGCUCUUUCGUCGGGGAAGAAAAUGACUGUACCCGAAUAAGAAGGUCCGGCUAACUUCGUGCCAGCAGCCGCGGUAAUACGAAGGGACCUAGCGUAGUUCGGAAUUACUGGGCUUAAAGAGUUCGUAGGUGGUUGAAAUAGUUGGUGGUGAAAUCCCAGAGCUUAACUCUGGAACUGCCAUCAAAACUUUUCAGCUAGAGUUUGAUAGAGGAAAGCAGAAUUUCUAGUGUAGAGGUGAAAUUCGUAGAUAUUAGAAAGAAUACCAAUUGCGAAGGCAGCUUUCUGGAUCAUUACUGACACUGAGGAACGAAAGCAUGGGUAGCGAAGAGGAUUAGAUACCCUCGUAGUCCAUGCCGUAAACGAUGUGUGUUAGACGUUGGAAAUUUAUUUUCAGUGUCGCAGCGAAAGCGAUAAACACACCGCCUGGG
rnacentral:rRNA from 1 species